GGUGCGAUGGUUGUCGUCAGCUCGUGUCGUGAGAUGUUGGUUAAGUCCGCAACGAGCGCAACCCCUAUUGUUAGUUGCCAUCAUUCAGUUGGGCACUCUAGCGAGACUGCCGGUAAUAAACCGGAGGAAGGUGGGGAUGACGUCAAAUCAUCAUGCCCCUUAUGACCUGGGCUACACACGUGCUACAAUGGUUGGUACAACGAGUUGCGAGUCGGUGACGGCGAGCUAAUCUCUUAAAGCCAAUCUCAGUUCGGAUUGUAGGCUGCAACUCGCCUACAUGAAGUCGGAAUCGCUAGUAAUCGCGGAUCAGCAUGCCGCGGUGAAUACGUUCCCGGGCCUU
rnacentral:rRNA from 1 species